UGCCAGAGGAGAUUUGCCCUG
rnacentral:miRNA from 1 species